UACGUAGGGUGCGAGCGUUAAUCGGAAUUACUGGGCGUAAAGAGUGCGUAGGCGGUUUCUCAAGUCCGCUGUGAAAUCCCCGGGCUCAACCUGGGAAUGGCAGUGGAAACUAGGAGACUUGAAUCUGGCAGAGGGGGGUGGAAUUCCACGUGUAGCAGUGAAAUGCGUAGAGAUGUGGAGGAACACCGAUGGCGAAGGCAGCCCCCCUGGGCUGAGAUUGACGCUCAGGCACGAAAGCGUGGGGAGCAAACAGG
rnacentral:rRNA from 1 species